rnacentral:ncRNA from 1 species
ACCGAUAAUGGCAAACUUGUCGAAAGGCAAGGACGCAAAGCUAAAGGGCCUGUAAAAUGGCAGCCAGCUACCGAAA